GAGAGUUUGAUCCUGGCUCAGAAUCAACGCUGGCGGCGUGCCUAACACAUGCAAGUCGAACGCGAGAGAGGCUUCGGCCUCAAUUGAGUGGCGAACGGGUGAGUAACACGUGGGUGACCUACCUUCGAGUGGGGGAUAACGUCCCGAAAGGGACGCUAAUACCGCAUAACAUCCUGCCUUUGAACAGGCGGUGAUCAAAGCCGGGGAUCGCAAGACCUGGCGCUAGAUGAGGGGCCCGCGUCUGAUUAGCUAGUUGGUGAGGUAACGGCCCACCAAGGCGACGAUCAGUAUCCGGCCUGAGAGGGCGGACGGACACACUGGGACUGAGACACGGCCCAGACUCCUACGGGAGGCAGCAGUGGGGAAUUGUUCGCAAUGGGCGCAAGCCUGACGACGCAACGCCGCGUGGAGGAUGAAGGUCUUCGGAUUGUAAACUCCUGUUGCUCGGGACGAAAAGCUCCGACCUAACACGUCGGAGUCUGACGGUACCGAGUGAGGAAGCCCCGGCUAACUCUGUGCCAGCAGCCGUGGUAAUACAGAGGGGGCAAGCGUUGUUCGGAAUUACUGGGCGUAAAGGGCGCGUAGGCGGCCUUCUAAGUCGAACGUGAAAUCCCCGGGCUCAACCCGGGAACUGCGUCCGAUACUGGAAGGCUUGAAUCCGGGAGAGGGAUGUGGAAUUCCAGGUGUAGCGGUGAAAUGCGUAGAUAUCUGGAGGAACACCGGUGGCGAAGGCGACAUCCUGGACCGGUAUUGACGCUGAGGCGCGAAAGCCAGGGGAGCAAACGGGAUUAGAUACCCCGGUAGUCCUGGCCCUAAACGAUGAAUGCUUGGUGUGGCGGGUAUCGAUCCCUGCCGUGCCGAAGCUAACGCAUUAAGCAUUCCGCCUGGGGAGUACGGUCGCAAGGCUAAAACUCAAAGGAAUUGACGGGGACCCGCACAAGCGGCGGAGCAUGCGGAUUAAUUCGAUGCAACGCGAAGAACCUUACCAAGGCUUGACAUACACGAGAACACCCUAGAAAUAGGGGACUCUUUGGACACUCGUGAACAGGUGGUGCAUGGUUGUCGUCAGCUCGUGUCGUGAGAUGUUGGGUUAAGUCCCGCAACGAGCGCAACCCUCGUUCUAUGUUGCCAGCACGUAAUGGUGGGAACUCAUGGGAUACUGCCGGGGUCAACUCGGAGGAAGGUGGGGAUGACGUCAAAUCAUCAUGCCCCUUAUAUCUUGGGCUUCACGCAUGCUACAAUGGCCGGUAUAAAGGGCUGCAAUACCGUGAGGUGGAGCGAAUCCCAAAAAGCCGGUCCCAGUUCGGAUUGAGGUCUGCAACUCGACCUCAUGAAGUCGGAGUCGCUAGUAAUCGCAGAUCAGCAACGCUGCGGUGAAUACGUUCCCGGGUCUUGUACACACCGCCCGUCAAGUCAUGAAAGUCGGUAACACCUGAAGCCGGUGGCCCAACCCUUGUGGAGGGAGCCGUCGAAGGUGGGGCUGGCGAUUGGGGCGAAGUCGUAACAAGGUAGCCGUAG
rnacentral:rRNA from 1 species